UGUAAAAGCGCCUCGAGCCCGCCCAGAA
rnacentral:sRNA from 1 species